AAUUCAGAAGUCGAAUCACUACAACGGCUAGACUGGGAUUCUGUUAAGCUAUUAAUAUUGUUCUCACGUUUGCCUACUUUGGUUCCUCUGUUUGCUUUGAUCGUUUAUUCUUCAGUGGUUGAACAUCAUCUCGCGUCAAUCGCCACUCUAACAAUGGCUUGGAUCGCAUUCAAUUCCACCAACAACAUCUACACUACACGGCCUCCAUGAUUCGAUCUAUACUUCAAUUCCUGAAUUGUCGAUGCCAUGUCCACCGAUCAAACGAGGUCCCCAUCCUCAAAGUUAGCAUUGGCCUCCACUCAUCGUCUGUGAUCUCCCGCAGUAGGUGAUAAGGAUGAAGCAAAGGAUGCAUGAAGUGGAAGAAGGAAAGAGGAAAAGAAUUGAAAAAAGUUAUCGUAUUACAUAGUAUAAUUUGUAUACCUGUAUGUUGUAAAUGUACUAUUGAUGGUAAAUGAUGAUUGUGCAUGGAAAUAAUUAGUUAUAAUUUUUUAAAAUAGGACCAAAAAUCUGAAAUACCCGAGAACCAAUUAGACUUUACCCUACGAGCAUGUUUCAUGAAUCGUUUUAGCUGUAAUGCUACCAAACAGUACUCUGAGGAGUUAAAGGAGGAUGUUCAGUUAGUGUGUUGCGUAU